GCUGGGGGAGCGAAAGCUGAGAGUGUACGGUAUCCGUACAGACCCUUACACCUGAUCCGGGCAAUACCGGCGAAGGGAAGCUGAUAUAUAA
rnacentral:ncRNA from 1 species